rnacentral:rRNA from 1 species
CCCAAGAGAUCGGGAUAACACCUGGAAACAGAUGCUAAUACCGGAUAACAACAGAUGAUGCCUAUCAACUGUUUAAAAGAUGGUUCUGCUAUCACUCUUGGAUGGACCUGCGGUGCAUUAGCUAGUUGGUAGGGUAACGGCCUACCAAGGCGAUGAUGCAUAGCCGAGUUGAGAGACUGAUCGGCCACAUUGGUACUGAGACACGGCCCAAACUCCUACGGGAGGCAGCAGCC